UAUCAAUUUACAUCGCCUACUUGCGCCAGAAAUCUUUUCAACUUUUCGUUUCUGCCACUCAACUGUGUCUUCUUUGAUUUCCCCCUCAACACAUAUCAGUUGCUAUUUGGCUUCUUCAUACCACUUUUUACACAGGUUCUUGAGAGAUAAUCUAGACAGAGGAAGGGAGAGAGGUGGUUGGCACGGUGGACGACCGACGGAGGGCAGCGGCUUACAACGCAGAAGACGGUCUUCAUCGUUUUCCUCCGUCACUUGAAACCAGAUCCGCCGGCAGUGGCUUCUAGAAGACAUACUGCCGACAGCAUCGGCGAACUGAGAUAGCGAUCCUUUGUCUUUGAGAUCAAAACGAUAUGAGAGAGAGGGAAAGAGGGCAGGGGCGGAGACAAGGCGGCGAUUAGGGUUCCGUCGAUUCUUAAUUUCAUGUUUUUGGCUUUCUGGAUUCAGUGUUGCUUUUCAGGUUCGUUCGUAUUGUUAAAAUUUUAGGGCUUGCAUUAUCGGCUUCUGUUGGUAAGGGAAUUAGGUGUUCUUGGUGGGAUUUUGUAUUCAGGCUUUUAUUGUCUCCUUUUAGGAUUUUGUUUCAAGUGUUUUCCAUCUCCGAUUUGGGUGGUGUGUUUAAUAGUUGUUCUGAUUUCUUCCUCAGUUGUUGCGGACAGGAUUUGCAGCUGCAGGUGUUAAGUUGUUCUGCAUGUGUUUUUGUGGUCGUGACACCCAUUUGGCAAGUAACUUUUAUUUCAUUAUUUUGAUUGUUUGUUUGUUUUCUGGAUUAUUGAGAUGCGGAUAGGGUUUGUGAUGAUCACAUAGGGUUUUUUUAAUAGUUGUAUUGUUAAGUUGAUUUUUAUUCAUGUUGCAUGUCAUUAUAGUUUAGAGAAUUAUACACUGAAAAGAGUUGGAACUGUUGAAAAGAAGGAAUUUCUUUACACCUGCUGUAUGUGUGAUUUAGCUGUUGAGUGGCUAAGUACAUUUGAAAGCUUUUUAUGAUAAAAAGAAAGUAGUCCUUUGUCAAUGUAUAUGUAUUUUGGUUGUUUUGAAAGGAGACAUUUUACAAAACCACCUUAAGAUUUCAUAUGUUGCUUUGCAUUUUUUAUUCGAAAACCUAUUAGUAGGGCGGGAAAUCUUGACCCAUACACUACGUUUGGGUCAUUUUGAACUUUAAUUAAAAGCUUCUGGGCUAUUUGGGUUAAGUGCUAUUUUUACAAUGGGUGGAAAUGGAUUGAACAAAAAGUGAGAAAUUAGAGGCGCGGGUCGAACGGGUCAUAACUGGCAUGGGAAAUCUUGCCCUACCCAUUACAACUCAUAUCCAAAAACCAUUGAAAGGUUGUUAAAGCAAUUUCAUGAUGUAGUUUUGUUGAUUUUCCCCAAAUGUUCAAAUGAGAAGGUAUUUUGAUAUGUAAUAAAAAAAUGGUCAAUCGAGAGUAUUUUGUUGUUUUUUUUUUUUUGUUUUUUCAAAUUGCAAGUCUUACUGAGUAAUCUUGAUAGUGGAAAGUUGAUGAAUAUUUAUUUUCUUUUUCAAAUAAAAAACCUUUUUAAGCCAACUCAAGACGAAAACCGUUGCGACCCGGACCCGCUUUGACUUGAACCCAUUCUGACCCAAACCUGUUCUAACCCGAACCAAAACAACCCUUUCUUUGGAUCAACCCGUUCUGACCCAAACCGUUUUGACCCGAACCUAUUUUGACCUGCCACCCGACCUGAUCCGACCCACCCGUUUUGCCAAGUGUACCCAUUAGUCAUACCAUCAUGAAGUAAAUUAAGCACCAAUAUCGACUUCUUGACGCUAAAGAUUUAUUUAAAAAGUAUACACACUUAUGAACAUGUAUAAACAUGCAACUUGGUUACACUUAAAAAAAAUAGAUAUUAUAAAUUGAAGUGGGCUUAAGUAUGCAUGUUUGUUAAACGUAAAAAAAUGAAGUGCUCUUAGAACUUUCUUUUUUUUUUUUGGUCAAUUACCUGUCACUAAGCAAGAGAAUGUAACCGAAAAGUCAAUAAUUUUCAGGGCCGGUCUACCUAAGUGGAAAAUAUGACAUAAAAAAUUACAAGUCUUCUAAAUCGAAUCUUACAGACACCUUUAAUGUAAAGAUAGUAACAUAUUGCAUGCUCGCAGGUAGAAAAGUCAAGAUGCCCAACAUCCUGCGGCACAAAAUAUCAUUGAAAAUUAUGUCGCCAUAUCUGACCUUGUGCCACUUCAGGAUACUGAGAUAGCAGUAAGUGAUCUCAUUCCAAACAGCAACUCACAUACACAAAUUUACAUGCAGAGUAAAAACUUAAGCAACCAAAGGAUAGUCUUACACAGCGUGCCCCAGAUGCGGUCUGUCCAUCUUGGAAGUUGACACUGAAUGGUUUUGCACGCGUGACAGCCCGCAAGAUAAAAGCAAAAAUGAUGUACCGAAUCAUAGCAACUGUUUCAGAUAACACAGGUAGCAUCGCCGCAGUCAUUUUCAACCGCGCCGGCAAACAACUUUUAGGUAAGACAUGUGAAGAGCUGGCUUCAACUGAAGAUCCGGUGAAAACAUUGUGCCCAGUAAUCGGGAAGGAAGCAGUCAUGUGUAUCCAAUUACAUUAUGACAGGAGAACGCGUACCAUGAAAUGUGUUGUUAACUAAGCUUCUUAAACGACAGUUAAGCCCGAUGCAGCAAGCAAUUCCAGUCCCCCACCAGCAGUAAAGGCACCCCACCUAACAACCCCUGCCUACAAAGGAAACAUGGAAACAACAGUGGAGAGGUAGUUGGAAUUCCCUGACACCGAUGCACUAUCAAAAAAGCCUAGCAAAGGCUUGAAGCCUUAAACUCACCGAAGAUGUCACUUUUGUCCACCUAAAAGAAGAAGCAAAGGUGGGAUUUGAGCCUAAAAGUAUAAUCGCUAAACGCAUACCUUUUGUACAAAUCACAGCUAAAGCAGUAACACAUCCAUGGCUGCCUACUAACUACACUGCAUAUAUAGGCAGCGUAAUAGCUUACUUUGGAACUAUUUUUAACUAAUGCUAAACUGCAUACUAAACUCAGUAAUGUGUAUGCCUAGACUGCUGUAUGUUGUACGUUGCGUCUAUAAAUAGCACUGUGAUUAACUAUUGGAAAAUCGUUUAUUAG